rnacentral:rRNA from 1 species
CGUGUAGGCGGUUUGGUAAGUCUGAUGUGAAAGCCCUGGGCUCAACCCGGGAAGUGCAUUGGAAACUGUCAGACUUGAAUACGGGAGAGGGUAGUGGAAUUCCUGGUGUAGGAGUGAAAUCCGUAGAUAUCAGGAGGAACACCGGUGGCGAAGGCGGCUGCCUGGACCGAUAUUGACGCUGAGACGCGAAAGCGUGGGUAGCAAACGGGAUUAGAUACCCUGGUAGUCCACGCCGUAAACGAUGAGUACUAGGUGUUGCGGGUAUUGACCCCUGCAGUGCCGCAGCUAACGCAUUAAGUACUCCGCCUGGGAAGUACGGUCGCAAGACUAAA